AGUACGUAGUUUUGUUUAAUUUUUACCCUCGAUCAAUAUAAGUUUUAUUAAAAACGAAUUUAUAUUAAAAGAAAGUAUUUAUUUGGUAUCGUAAUACGGUACGACGGUAUCAUCUGAACCAAUUCUAAUGGUUAGGCUUUCUAAACAACAUGCUACAUUUUCAAAUAACGUUAUUAUUUGCUCCGUUUCGCGGCAACGCGUGACGUAAAAAAAACCUAGUUUUAUAUAUAAAAAAUGAAAGUGAUUAGGGCAUCCUCAAUUCUGUUUUCCCGCCCAACGGUACCACACUUCCAUCCCUUUUAUACUCCCACCGUCUCCUUUUUUUCCUUUUCAAAACCCUAGAUUUGAAUCUUUUUCUCCUUUUCCUUCUCCUGUACUCUUCUCCCUUCUUAAUCAAAGAUCAAACCAAAUCAUCUCAUCAUGAAUCAUUCGAAGCGUCACCAGAUAAGCCUAUAUCUUCAUUUAUUUCAGUAUUGUAGCCCUAAUUUUCGUUGCAAUCCUAACUCGGUUUUCUUGAUUUUGUAGCCCUAAUUCGACAUUGAAUCUGAAAUUGAAGAACACAUAACUCGAAAUCAGCCUUUGUACUUUUCAUGUCUGAUUAUACCAUGAAGAUGUAAUAUCUGACUUUUGUAAUUUUCAUCCCGAGCUAUAGUUGGGAAGAUUCUUUCAUCUUCUUCGUCGGCAAGGUUCUUCCAUUUGAGGUUUAAUUUGGUUGUUGUCAUCGAUGGUCAUUAAAGUUGAGAUCCGCUUACCUGCGGAUAGAUUUCCGCCAUGAACUGGGUUUCAUUUGCUUGAGAUUUGAAUCUUCUGAUUGUUGAAGCCUUUGAAGCCGAUCCUUUUAAAUUUCCAGUUCCCGAGGUAUUAUUGUUUGUAACAGCAGUGGUUCAGCAUCUACAGUGGACUCAACAUCUACAGUGGAUUCAACAUCAGGUGUUUGGUUAAUUUUUGGUCAGGUUUCCUACUCAGUUCUGAUGUUCACUUAUCUAAUUUUCAUUUUAUUUUUAGGCUUCUAUAUGAUUUUGAGGUUGAUUGAUU